UACGUAGGGGGCAAGCGUUGUCCGGAUUUAUUGGGCGUAAAGAGCGUGUAGGCGGCUGGAUAGGUCCGUUGUGAAAACUCGAGGCUCAACCUCGAGACGCCGAUGGAAACCAUCCAGCUAGAGUCCGGAAGAGGAGAGUGGAAUUCCUGGUGUAGCGGUGAAAUGCGCAGAUAUCAGGAAGAACACCAAUGGCGAAAGCAGCUUUCUGGGACGGUACUGACGCUGAGACGCGAAAGCGUGGGGAGCGAACAGG
rnacentral:rRNA from 1 species